AUCCAUUGAACAGCAACCUUUCUUGAAAAUUUGACAGACACAUAGGUCAUGCAGUAUUAAAUAGAACAGUCUUUCCUUCUUAGUCAGAGCUCUUAAUUGUAAGCUGCCCAGACAGCCAAGAUGAAAGCUUUUGGAUUGGAGCUCCUGGACAGAACUAAAAUUGAACCGCUCUUAUUUCACCAAAGAGAAAGACAUUCUCAUACAAAUGAGCACUCUCCAAAACCAAACCCAAAUUCUCGUAGUGGAGGAACUGAGGCAAAAUCUUAGAAUCUUCUCUCCCACCAACCGGUACCUGCCAAACAAAUGACGUAAGCUAUGUCCACCUGGCACGAACUCCAAACGGCAGAGAUAAAGGAUUCCCGGUUGGACUUAGCCAGUCUUAGAGCCGGUCAGCUCCUCAAAAGAACCGUUUCAUAUCCACACAGCGUUUAUAGGCAGCGGACCCCGCAGCAAGGAGAGAAGGGAGAAUCCCCGUGGAGCAAGUGCUCCGGGCAGCUGCUGGGCUGUCCCUAACCCUGGAUUCCCGGUUGCAGGGUCAGCUCACCAUAAGCAGCUCUGGGAUGGGAUGCAAGUGACCAUUGCCCUUCUCUACUAAUGUGAGAGGAUUGGGCCACCUGAAAAACACAUCCCAAGUCCCCUUUGUGGUUACCAAUUUUCCUACUGGACAAAUAAUCAAGCUCUUGCUGCUAGCUGCUUCGAUAGCCAAUUCACCAGAGAAAAGUGUUGAUGGCUUAAUGAAUCAAAAUAGAAUGCUGUGUGAUAUAUUUUAUGAAAUUGGCCUUGUAAUACCUUCAUGAUGUUAUCUACUUCUGCAAAAGUGAAAGCACAACCUUAAAAAGAUUUUUUUAAACUAAAUUAUGUGAUAAGUAAGAAAGGAUCAAAGAAACCCAUAUUUUGCAACAUAAAGCUAGCACCCUGUGCUUUGAUGAGCCCAAGCAAAACUGGAACUUCUUGGUUAUGAAUAUUUCUUGAAGCAGGUUGAACAUUUCUGAAAAAACUCAAACAACUGAACUUCCUGAGAUUAACCAGGAUUUGUGAGACAAGGAAGUGUGAUCUGAUCUACAGAGGUGAAGUCACUUCCCCAAGAUCGGAAAGUUAAUUUGUGACCGAAAGAAAAGAAGCUUCUUUCAACUUCUUUCUACUGCCAUCCACGCCUCACUUCCAAAGGACUCCAACUGGUCCCACUGCUCUAUAUGCUCACAUCUGGACAGGUCACUGAUUCUAGGAAAAUGACUAUUAUGGUCGGACAGGCCUUGAUCAAAUGUUCAUCCCUUGACUGGAAUGGAGUGGUGAGAUAUUUUUACAACACAUAUACUAAUGAGUGGCAGAAGAUAUGUAAGUUCUCAAAAGAAUAUAUGGUGGCUAAUUUUGGGAAAGGAUUCACUGCUGUUUAUUUUGUGUUCCUUAGAGCCAAAAGGCAUAUUUCAACAUUCAUACGCAUUGGAUGUUUGAUGAAUUGAGUGAAAGUGAAUUGCAUUGCAUUUUUUGUUGCUCGUUAUUUAUAUUAACAUCAUUAGAGUACAGUGUAGAGCUCAAUAGCGUUGCUCUAGAGCAAACUUGGCUGUGUCUCAGUUCCCUUUUACAGAAUGAUAUAAUAACAAUAUCUACCAUUUAGGCUAGUUUACCUGGAGAAAUGCAUGCAAACCAAACACUUAACAUAGUUUGGCUCACAGUGGUCCCUAGCAGCUAAAAAAAAAAAAAAAAAAGAAAGAAAGAAAGAGGGUACAGAGAGAGGGAGGAGAAGGAGAAGACUUUAGUCUUAAAGCCAUACAAGAAGGAAUUCUGCCAAAAAGGGUGCACAUUAGCAGGAAGUUGAAAAAGGUAAUGGAAUAAACACUUAAAUCCAAGUACUCCAACAUGAUAUGUGUGUGUUCCCGGGUAACCAUUUUCUACAGAGAAGAUCAUCAUUAUCAUACAUUUAGUUAUAUCUUUGUUAGGCCACACAAAAAGAAUCACACAGAGGCAUAGGUGCCAUGAAACUCCCAGUCAUGGAAGGCGUGCAUGCCAGCCUCCCCACAGCCGCUGUCUCUUACACAGCUAAGACAGAGCUGCAGGUGUCUCAGCACAGCUGCCUGUGCCUGGGCUACUCCUUUCCCAGUUGCAAGUCAUGCUCUUUUCUUCUCCUUCUGGCUUUUACGGUGCAUUUCUCUAGUCUUUAUGAGCUCAUUCAUGAAUAAGCUUUAUAGCAUUUCAUGCACUGAGAGAAAUUGGAAGAAAUUACUUCUGACAAUGAAAAUCAACAUUUUCAUAGUGACAGAAUUAACUGGAAAAUGUUAUGGAUAAAAACUUAUUUCUACCUGACUACUAAAAAAAUAAAACACCUAGAUCUACCUGGGUAAAGUCACCUGUUAUUCAUUUAUACACCCUCACCUCAGUCUGGGGUUCUUUGUAGUAGAGGGUGCCUAUUCCUUGUAUCAGGACAAAGCUCCACCAAGCUGAUCAGAACAACAGAAGGAAGAGAGGAACGUGGAGAGAGCCUCCAUCAAUAAGCUCCGCCAUGAUCCCUUCCUUCUCUCCUAUUUUUAGUUUCUUUAUCUAUAAAAAUUGACUGUUUUGAGUACUCUAAAUCCUAUUAUUCUAGAUAUAGCUAUGAAAUUUCAAAAGUGAUAUGAAAGGAACAUUUACUUUUCAAUUUCCUUCAUUUUGGAUAUUUUCUUCCCUUAGUCUUGCUUUACAGAUGCCUUUUGAUUCAUUUUUAAAAUAUGAGCCUAGACCUCUGAGUCAUUUUGAUUUUUUCCUAUCUUUCUGUACUUGUCAAUCAGUGUAAUUGUUGAAUAAUUACUGAAUAGUUAUAGGCAUAGCCUAUAAGCUUAUUAGUACUACUUUAUAUGACAUUGCCAAGAGACAUUUUGAACUACACAUACAAUUACUGGGCUUUGCAGUUGAGAA